rnacentral:rRNA from 1 species
CUUGAACUUUAUAAGAGGUCCAGCCUGCCCAGUGACUCUGUUCAACGGCCGCGGUAUCCUAACCGUGCGAAGGUAGCGUAAUCACUUGUUCUUUAAAUGUGGACUAGUAUGAAUGGCACUACGAGGGUUACACUGUCUCCUUUCUCUAAUCAGUGAAACUAAUUUUCCCGUGAAGAAGCGGGAAUACACCUAUAAGACGAGAAGACCCUAUGGAGCUUUAGACAAUCCAGCAAUUACUUUUUAAAUUAUAAAUUUCAGAAUGUUCAUUUUUUAAGUAAUGUGACUGCAAGUUUUUGGUUGGGGUGACCAUGGAGAAUAACACAACCUCCAUAUUGAAUGAAUUUUAUUUUAAGCUAAAAAUUACUUAUUAAAGCAUCAACACACUGACAUUUAUUGACCCAAUAUA